GAUGAACGCUGGCGGCGUGCCUAAUACAUGCAAGUCGAGCGAACAGACGAGGAGCUUGCUCCUCUGACGUUAGCGGCGGACGGGUGAGUAACACGUGGAUAACCUACCUAUAAGACUGGGAUAACUUCGGGAAACCGGAGCUAAUACCGGAUAAUAUAUUGAACCGCAUGGUUCAAUAGUGAAAGACGGUUUUGCUGUCACUUAUAGAUGGAUCCGCGCCGCAUUAGCUAGUUGGUAAGGUAACGGCUUACCAAGGCAACGAUGCGUAGCCGACCUGAGAGGUUGAGCGGCCACACGGGAACUGAGACACGGUCCAGACUCUUACGGGAGGCAGCAGUAGGGAAUCUUGCUCAAUGGGCGAAAGCCUGAUGGAGCAACGCCGCGUGAGUGAUGAAGGUCUUCGGAUUGUAAAACUCUGUUAUUAGGGAAGAAAAAAUGUGUAAGUAUCUAUGCACGUCUUGACGGUACCUAAGCAGAAAGCCACGGCUAACUACGUG
rnacentral:rRNA from 1 species